GAUGAACGCUGGCGGCGUGCUUAACACAUGCAAGUCGAACGAAGCACUUUAUUUGAUUUCCUUCGGGACUGAUUAUUUUGUGACUGAGUGGCGGACGGGUGAGUAACGCGUGGGUAACCUGCCUUGUACAGGGGGAUAACAGUUGGAAACGGCUGCUAAUACCGCAUAAGCGCACGGCAUCGCAUGCUGCAGUGUGAAAAACUCCGGUGGUAUAAGAUGGACCCGCGUUGGAUUAGCUAGUGGGUGAGGUAACGGCCCACCAAGGCGACGAUCCAUAGCCGAACUGAGAGGGUGACAGGCCACAGUGGGAAUGAGACACGGACCAAACUGGUACGGGAGGCAGCAGUGGGGAAUAUUGCACAAUGGGCGAAAGCCUGAUGAAGCGACGCGGGGUAAGAGAAGAAGUAGUUCGGUAUGUGAAGUUGUAUGAGAAGGGAAGAGAAUGACGGUACCGGACUAAGAAGCACCGGCUAAAUACGUG
rnacentral:rRNA from 1 species